GAGGGGAGCAAGAUCAGCAUUGCUACGCGGUGGGGCGCAGGAGUCCCGAAUCCGAGCGGCAUCGAGUUGGUGUUGAGAGUUUCAGAAGUUCAGAAUAUUCAGAGUUGCAGUCAUCUGAACGAAGAACAAUAAGAUAUAUGGAAAUCAAAGGACAAGUGCCAUUUCAACAUACCGAGAUGUCCAAUUUUCUGUCCACAAUGCAGGCUUGUUAGGUGAGUUUGGUCCAACAAAUGUUUCUCCGCAAAUGAGCCCAUUACAGGUAGCCAUGUGGAAAAUCAUGUGAAUUGCUGUAAGCAUGACACUAACAACUGGAUCUGGAGCAUCAUUCUGCUUGCACAUCAUCCAUGGAACACCUGUUUGGAGACCAACAGCCAUUGCAGCUGCCCAACGGACAUAACGUGGUCCACUUGCGCCAAAUGCAGGCUCAAUCAUCUGACAAACAUAUCAGACUGGAAAGAGUGAAUACCUGACCCUGGAUAGGCUCGUGAACGUUCCAGAAGACAUAGGUUUGUAUCACAUCGAGGCCACCGUUCUUUGCUUUUGCUAUGAGUUUUGGCCACAUCUGCCAAUUUAUUGUGCACAAACAUCCUAAUAAAUGAUUUAUGUGAUGAAUUGGAAAGCUUGGCAAACCAGAGAAUUGCUCCAAGGAAAGCCGGAAAUGCUAUCGAAGUUCAUAGUGAUUGUUGCUUGAAAAUUGUCCCAAAUAACCAGACCUUUAGGCUAUAUAGGGUGCAUGUUUUUGAUGACUCAAACGCUGAGUGUAAUUAUUUGUGCUUUCCACUUUAUAUAACACGCUGAGCUAGAAUGUAAUUCUGGGAAAUAGAUGCAUGUCUCAAAACUGCUACUUCUCUGGAAAGAGGAAACCAAUAUCUAUUAAGCUGUUAGUUAUCUGAAAAGAGGAAACCAAUAUCUAUUCAUCCUCGUCAA